GGAAAUGUGCCCGAAUUUUUAAGGGUUACUUUGAUAGAGUAAACAAUAGAGGUUAAAAUCCACUCAUUUCCC
rnacentral:tRNA from 1 species